AUACCAGCACCCCGAGUGGUCGGGACGAUUAUUGGGCCUAAAGCAUCCGUAGCCGGCCUUACAAGUCCUCCGUUAAAUCCAGCUGCUCAACAGAUGGGCUGCGGAGGAUACUAUAAGACUAGGAGGUAGGAGAGGCAAGCGGUACUCAGUGGGUAGGGGUAAAAUCCGUUGAUCCAUUGAAGACCACCAGUGGCGAAGGCGGCUUGCCAGAAUGCGCUCGACGGUGAGGGAUGAAAGCUGGGGGAGCAAACCGGAUUAGAUACCCGGGUAGUCCCAGCUGUAAACGAUGCAGACUCGGUGAUGGACUAGCUUUAUGCUGGUCCAGUGCCGCAGGGAAGCCGUUAAGUCUGCCGCCUGGGUAGUACGGUCGCAAGACUGAAACUUAAAUGAAUUGGCGGGG
rnacentral:rRNA from 1 species